CUACGGGCGGCUCCAGUGAGGAAUUUUGCGCAAUGGGGGAAACCCUGACGCAGCAACGCCGCGUGAGCGAAGAAGGCCCUCGGGUCGUAAAGCUCUGUCAAGUGGGAAAAAAAUUUUUUGAUCAAUAGUCAAAAGACUUGAUGGUACCACUGGAGGAAGCACCGGCUAACUCCGUGCCAGCAGCCGCGGUAAUACGGAGGGUGCGAGCGUUGUUCGGAUUUACUGGGCGUAAAGAGCGUGUAGGCGGUUUAGCAAGUCAGGUGUGAAAGCCCUGGGCUCAACCCGGGAAGUGCAUUUGAAACUGCUUCACUAGAGUAUGGGAGAGGAGAUUGGAAUUCCUGGUGUAGAGGUGAAAUUCGUAGAUAUCAGGAGGAACACCCGUGGCGAAGGCGAUUCUCUGGACCAAUACUGACGCUGAGACGCGAAAGCGUGGGGAGCAAACAGGAUUAGAUACCCUAGUAGUC
rnacentral:rRNA from 1 species